UCUUAUGAAGUUAAUACCUACAUAAGAAACUAAAUUGGCAUAUCAUUCUGCUACUGAAUAAUCAAGAAGCAGUUUUUUAGCUAAUAGAAGAGAACCUUAUGCUUGAUAUUUCAGAACACUAAUAAUAAUUGUGAUGUGAUUUAAUAUGAUACUUAAUAAACACAAAAUACAGCAAAAA